UAGCUCCUUUCUUUCUUUCUUUCUUUCUUACUUCCCUUCUCUUCACGCCGUUGGCCCUAAUCAUCCUUGUGUUGCCGCCGUUCAAAUCGUUGCCGCUGUGUUUAGGAUUUUAACCCGUCAUUUCUCAAGUUUCCUCUCUCUCUCUCUCUCUGGACCAUUCCUAACUCCAAAUGGGUCAUUGUUGUUCGGUUCAGUCUCAUCUGGUAGGUGAGGGUUGUCUCAGGUCGACUCAUUCCGUUUUCUGAAAGUUGGAUGUGAGCGGUCUGUUUUACUGUUUUAUUGAUUCUAUGAUGUAUUUUAGACUCUUAGCCAUGAGAUUGUAUGAUCGAGCGCGUGGAUAUUGCAUAGAGUGAUGCUACCCCAGUGGUUUAUGUUUAAGGCGUGUUCUCAUACCAUUUCCAUCUUUGGUUGCAAUCUUGGACAGCAGUUGCCGACUCUCACCAGCUAAU